rnacentral:rRNA from 1 species
AUCAACGCUGGCGGCGUGCCUAACACAUGCAAGUCGAACGCGAAAGGGGCUUCGGCUCUGAGUAGAGUGGCGAACGGGUAAGUAACACGUGGGUGACCUACCUUCGAAUGGGGGAUAACGUCCGGCAAAGGGACGCUAAUACCGCAUAACAUCCUGUCUUUGAACAGAUGGAGAUCAAAGCUGGGGAUCGUAAGACCUGGCGUUUGAAGAGGGGAGCCCGCGUCCGAUUAGCUAGCUAGGCAGGGUAAAGGCUACCAAGGCGACGAUCGGUAGCCGGCCUGAGAGGGCGGAACGGCCACACUGGGACUGAGACACGGGCCAGACUCCUACGGGAGGCAGCAGUGGGAGAAUUGUUCGCAAUGGGCGCAAGCCUGACGACGCAACGCCGCGUGGAGGAUGAAGGUCUUCGGAUUGUAAACUCCUGUUGCCCGGGACGAAUGGCUUCGACCUAACACGUCGAAGUUUGACAGGUACCGGUGAGGAGCCCCGCUAACUCUGGUGCCAGCAGCCGCGGUAAUACAGAGGGGGCAAGCGUUGUUCGGAAUUACUGGGCCCGUAAAGGGCCGUAGGCGGCCUUUCUAAGUCGAACGUGAAUCCCGGGCAUCAACCCGGGAACUGCGUCCGAUACUGGAAGGCUUGAAUCCGGGAGAGGGAUGAGGAAUUCCAGGUGUAGCGUGUGAAAAUGCGUAGAUAUCUGGAGGAACAACCGGUGGGCGAAGGCGGCAUCCUGGACAGGUAUUGACGCUGAGGCGCGAAAGCCAGGGGAGCAAACGGGUUAGAUACCCCGGUAGUCCCUGGCCCUAAACGAUGGAAUGCUUGGUGUGGCGGGUAAUCGAUCCCUGCCGUGCCGAAGCUAACGCAUUAAGCAUUCCGCCUGGGGAGAGUACGGUCGCAAGGCUGAAACUCAAAGGAAUUGACGGGGGCCCAGCACAAGCGGUGGAGCAUGUGGUGCAAUUCGACGCAACGCGAAGAACACUUACCCAGGCUUGAACUGCAGGUGACAUCCUACGAAAGUAGGCUUCCGCAAGGACACUGUAGAGGUGCUGCAAUGGCUGUCGUCAGCUCGUGUCGUGAGAGUUGGGGUUAAGUCCCGCAACGAGCGCAACCCUUGUCUUCUGUGCCAUAGGGUUAUGCCGGGCACUCUGAAGAGACUGCCGGUGACAAACCCGGAGGAAGGUGGGGAUGACUGUCAAGUCAGCAUGGCCUUUAUGUCUGCGGGCCACACAACGUGCUACAAUAGGGCCGGUACAAACCGUCGCGAUCUCGCGAGAGGGAGCUAAUCGGAGAAGCCGGUUCUCAGUUCGGAUUGUAGGCUGCAACUCGCCUGCAUGAAGUUGGAAUCGCUAGUAAUCGCGGAUCAGCACGCCGCGGUGAAUACGUUCCCGGGCCUUGUAUCACACCGCCCGUCACAUAACGAAAAGCCGGGUGCUGUACUAGAAGUCGCCUGCGCCUAACCCGCAAGGGGGGCAAGCGCCUAAGGUAUGGUCGGUGAUGGGGUG